rnacentral:rRNA from 1 species
ACUUGCCUACGGGAGGCAGCAGUAGGGAAUCUUCCACAAUGGACGAAAGUCUGAUGGAGCAACGCCGCGUGAGUGAAGAAGGGUUUCGGCUCGUAAAGCUCUGUUGGUAGUGAAGAAAGAUAGAGGUAGUAACUGGCCUUUUUUUGACGGUAAUUACUUAGAAAGUCACGGCUAACUACGUGCCAGCAGCCGCGGGAAUACGUAGGUGGCAAGCGUUGUUCGGGUUUAUUGGGCGUAAAGCGAGUUCAGGCGGU